ensembl:lncRNA
UUCCAACUAGCCUAACGUUACAUGCCACGGUUUGAGUCGUCACAAUGAUGAAUAUGGUAAGAUGACAGCAAUACGAAGUAAAUCAAAUCUCACUGUGAAUGCAUAUGAACGCAUUACAAAAGUUUUAGGUUUAGAUUUACGUUUAUUUCAUUCCAAAGCAAGACAUUACAAAUAAUAUGUUUGUGUGUGAGACAAAUUCAAGCAAUACAUUAAAAACAAUAUGUUGUGUGUGUGUGUGUGUGUACAUGAGUCUGGCAUAUACUUAUUACAUUGGAAUAUAAUUGUUUUGGAACUCAUGGGUUUUUGAUCCUCUUAAUGAACCUGUUGGUGUUAUCAUCUAAAAAUCCAUUGCAUCAUUUUUAAACUGGGUUCAAAUGAACAAAUUUCUCCUUUUGUUCAGUUGGUAAUUAUAUCGCCUCUGUAAUUAUCCUACCAGUGUAGUUCACUCUUAGACAUACUGUGGAUCCUUGUGAAAUCCAUCUGUGUUAUAUAGGGCACAUCUGCAACACUCCUGUCAUGCAGAGCUGCAAGAAUGUGAAUGCAACAAACACGACCUCGAGCACUCAUGAACAGGAUAUCCAUCCUCUCACAUUCAUCUGCACUCUUCUCAUCCCCAAAGGAAUGUGCAUAUAUUACCUUUUAACAUUACAGGUGAGCUUUGCUUUUCACAGAUAAUUGUGCAGAAAUUUCCAAAGUUGCCAAUUAGCAUUAACAAAAGAUUUAGGAUUAAGUGUAAGAACCCAAACACACAACACAAGAUAAUUAUAUCAAUUUGUCAUGAGAAAUCAAAACAGAUAAUUUUAGGAUCAUUUGACCCAGAGUGUUUUACUGACACAUUGGUGAAAACAAAAGAUGCAUACAUACACACACACAUUAUGCUAAUAAGUUAUUUGAGAAGUUAAUUGCAUAGAUGUACUGUAUGUAAUCAUGAAAGAUUCAUUCUGGCUUAUGCAAGCAUCUGUGUUGUGAUUUAAAAAUGCAAAACUGAUUUAUUGGACUAUAUAAACUGUGAUAAACAUUAAACAUUUGGUACUAUGCAAAUAAUCUGUAAUUAUAUUACUAAGUACUUAUGGUAUCCAGUAUUCCGUGUUUUUAAUAGACUACUAAAAUGCUGUGGGUGGUUUCCUCCCACCAAAUGUUACUUAUAAAUAUAUACAUACAAAUACUGAUAAUGCAUGGAUUGUAUUUGUUUAGGAAAGGCUUCUCUUCUUAAUGAACAAGACCUGUGCUUAUAAAAUGUCCUCAGUUUCCUCCACAGUGUCUCUGGGACAGCAGCAACUGCAGCACCGUCUGAUCCAGUGCAGUAGCCGCAAUCUCCGUGAAGUUGGCCCGACUAUGCCUCCUCUCUGGGAUUCUCCUUUCGCUCCUUUCUCCCUCUCUUCACUCAGGGCAUGCACAGAAAUCUCCAUCCUUCCACCGACUCUUUCCAUCUGUUCAGUCGUCACUCUUUGAGCUCCUCCAAUCUGCUCUCCAUCUCCUUCCAGCAUCAGCGUUUGCACGGCUCUGUCCGUCACCCGUCUGAAUCUGUCCACUCUUAGAGCUGCAUCACUAAUGAGGCGCUCCAUAAUCUCCAAGUGCUGACUACUUGUUUCUGUUUCUUCACUCUUCAGUCGAUUGAUUUCAAUCAGCAUACACUCCCUUAACAGAAGUAUUUCCUUUUCCUUUUCUAUGAGCAUGAGUCUGUCAGUUUCCCUCUCAUGCUGGAGGGCUUCAUUAUAUCUUUCCAUUUCAGCUUUCCGUAGCUCCAACUCGAUUUGUUCUCUUUGCAUUCCCAGUCUUUCCAGUUCCUUCCUCUGUAUGUCUUGUAAUCUGUUCUUUAGUUCAUCUUUCAUUUCCUGUAUUCUCCUUUUCAUUGCAUCUAUCUCUUCAUACUGUGGUGGAGCAUCUCUUUCCUGGUCUUCAGUUUGUGUCUCUUGAGUUCUCUUCUGCUUAACAUCCUCUGUAUGUUCUUGAAUGGAUUUUGUAGUUGCCAUUACUUCAUGAUCUUCUUGUUCACUCUGAAUAUUAGUUUCCUGUUGAGUCUUCUCAGUCCUUGUCUGUCUUUGUAUGUCAGUCUCAAUUUGUUGCAGUUCUCUUCUUUUGCAUUCAUAGCUUUGUGUGAGAUGAUCAAUCUCCUUGGUAAGUCUCAGUACCUCAGCUUGAACCUUCUCCAGGCUGUUCCUCCUCCUCUCGAGACUCUCCAUGAUCACUGACUUUUCUUCUUCAGCGGUUUUACAUUCAUCCCUCAAUUUAUGCAGGUGAUCCUUUGCCUUCUCCAUCUCAAGAAGGCCAGUUUGUAUGAUCUUCAUUUUAUUCUCCAUUUCGUCAUGUUGCCUCUGUAGUUCAGCUCUCAUGAUGUUUAGCUCAUCUCGUUCUAGGGUUGUGCCAUCCAUUAGCUGAAGAACUUCUCUUUGGGUGUCAGUUUUGUAGAUUUUUGCUUUUGUUUCUCCAUCUGUUUUGGCCCAAUGAAUCUCAGUCAGUUCCAGACUGCUGUCUCUGUCUGUCUUUUUCUCCUCUUUAGUGUCUUGUACUUGUUCCAAUGCUUUUUUGUAUGUGACUUUCUCAGCAUCCCUGUCACUUUUAACGGAAGUAUCAUCUGUUUUUCCCUUGAUUUUUAGUGUCUCCUGUUCAUUUUGCUUUUGUUGAAGCAACUCAUUUUCAAUGUUUUCCUUCUCUUCUUUCAGUGACCCUAUAGUCUCUUCCAGUUGUCCCAACUUUAUCACGAAUGCUUCUGUGAUGCUCUCUAUUUCCUUAUUUUUCUUCUCAAGGUUGUUUGAUAAAUCCUCCUUGUCUUGUGUAAGUUGUAGCAGUUUUUCUUCAUUUCUUGACUUCUCCUUCAUGACUUCCUUCAUAUUUCUCUCAAAGUCUUUUUUUGCUUGUUCCAGUUCAUGUCUCUCUUUUUUCAUCAUUGUCUUCAUUCUCUCCAAAUCUUCAAUUUCUUUGUUUAAAGAGUCCAUUAUUUCUUGCACUUCAGAUGGGUGUGUGUCUUUUGACUUGGCCACAGUGGGUUGUUUUUUCUUUGUUGCAGCCGUUUCAUCUUCUAAUUCCUUUUGUCUACCAUCAUCUGUUUUCUUAAAGUCAUCCAAAGAUGUUUGUGUUUCAGCAUCUACUGAGGUGGUCUUCAUCUGAUAUAUCUCAAGUUCAUCUGUUUUUUGUUUCUUUACUUCUACGUCCUCUCUUAGGACAUCAGCAUCCCUCUUUGAGUGAUCUUUUGUUUUCAUCUCUUCUGGUAAGCGAUGCAUUUCUACUUUCUGUCUCUUUAUUUGAAUCUCCAUGUUUAACAUCUCCAGUUCAGAUAAUUGUCUGUUUAUUUGCUUUUGCAGGUCCUCCAUUGUUCUUGUCUUUUCUUCUAUAAUGCCUUCCAUGUCCUCUUUUUCUUUCUGCAUCAUGUCUUUAUCUUGUUGCAGCAAAGUUCUCUCAUGUUGUAUGCUUUGUUUGCUGUCUUCAGCCUCUUUCUUCAGUCUGUUUAAAUCAGCUCUCUCCUUUUCGAUACGAUAUUUUUCACUUUCAUUUAUCUUUUUGCUGUUUUCAAUCUCCUUUUUGUCCCUUUGAAUGUCAUUAUUAAGCUUUUCAAGCUCUUCUUGUUUUGUCUGGAUAUUUUUAUUGAGCAUAUGUCUGUGUUCAUCAAGUUCAGACUUCUCUUUCUGAAGCACAUCUCUCUCUCGUUUGAUGACCACCAUGAUGUCUUCUAAUUCCUGCUGCUGUUGAUCUAAUGUGAGCUUUUUCUUUUCGAUCUGAUUUUUUUCCACCUCAAUUGUGUUCCUCAGUUCUUCUAGUUCAUCCAUCUGUUUCUGGAGAUCAGCCUGCAAUUCAGCAUCUGUCUUUUCUUCUUCAGUGUCCUCCUUGACCUUUUGUAAAGCAGCUUGGAUCUGUGUUUCACUCUCCACUGCUGUUUUUACAUCUUUCUUCUUUAUUUGGGUCUUGGCUUGCUGAUCAAUUUCUGUCAGUAAAUCUGCUCUUUUCUGAGUUAAAUUUUCCAUCUCUUUUUCAAACUGUUCUCUGUUUUCUGCCAUUUCUUGCUUGGACCUUUCAAUUUCAAAAUUUAAGCUUUGCAGUUCAUCUUUCUUUCUCUGGAUUUCUUUCUUCAAAGCAUCAGUCUCCUCUCUUUCCUUUCCAAGAGGAUCUGCUGUGAUUUUCUCAAGCUCAUCGGUCUGUUGCUUUGCAUCAACUUUGAUUUGAUCAAAAACAUUCUUCUGAUCUUCAAAUGUUUUGAUUUUUUCUUGUAGUUGUCGUCUGUCUUGUUCUAGAUGAGUUUUCAUGCUCUCUAAAUCAUUUCUCACUUUUCUGUUUUCAUUCAUCAAGCCAUCUACCUCUUGCUGCUGUUGAUUCAUAACAAUUUGCCUCUUUUCCAGCUGCAUUUUCUCAGCUAUCACAAUGUUUCUUAAGUUAUCUACAUCUUUUCUUUGCAUGUCAAGUUCUUUUUCUUUGUUUUCCAGAUCCUGUUCUUUAAGUCGUAUUUCAUUCUGUGUGCUUUCCACUGUCUCUCUUAGCUGUGUUAUAUCAGUAAUCUUCUGCUCCAAUGUCAGCCUCUCUUUGUGCAGUUCUUGCAUUGUCAAGUCAUUUUUUUCUUUUUGCUUUUGGAGAUCUUCUCUUAGAGCCUCAUUCUCUGCUUUGCUCUUCUCUAAGUUCUCUUUCUGUGUCUGAAGUUGCAGUAGAUCUGAUUGCAGAAGCUUUGUCUGCCUCUCGAUGUCGGCACGCAUAGUACUGAGCUCUUCUUCUUUCCUUCUCAUGUCAUCCAGUCUCUUUGGAAUGUUCUCUUGGUCUUUACUGAUUUGAGAGGUGAUUCGGUCAGUUUUCCUGAUUUCCUCAUUAAGAUUUUCAGACUUUCUUUGUAAAUCUGCCUUGAUCUCCUCCAGAGAGUCUUUUUCUUUUUGAAUAUUUUGUUUGUCAUUGUUCAUUUGCACAAUGUUGCUGUCCAGUUGAGAUUUUUUAUUUUCAGUUUCGUUCAUUAACUGCUUCAGCAUUUUCUUUUCCUCUUCAAUGCUCUUCUUCUCCAACUGUAACUCGGUUUUUAAUUGAUCCAUUUCAUGUUUUUCUGUUAACAGUCUGUCCAGCAUAUCUUUCUUCUCUUCCUCAGAUUUAUUUCUCAAUUGCUCUAGGUCUUCCAACUCACUCUUGAUGGUUUUCAGAAUGUUUUCCAUCUCUUGCUUUUCUUGUUUUACUUCUGCUUUCUCUCUGUCAAGUUCAAUUUUCUCUCUUUCUAAGAUAUUCCUUAGCUCUUCUACUUUGGUUUUCUGUUUCUGUAUAUCUGCUUCGCAUAGAGUUACUUUCUCUCUCUUAUUUUCCAUUUCAGUGGUUUUCCUUUCUAGCUCAGCAUUCAUUUUCUCCAAAGCCUUUCUUUCUCUUUGCAUGUCAUUCUCUUUGAUUUCAAAAUCCUCUUGCUGUUUUCUGAUUAUUUUCUCUAGCUCUUCAUGUUUAGUCUGUAUUUCUGCAUUCAUCUGUUCAAUUUGAUUCCUUUCUUUUGCUAACCUCACCUUGACAUUUUCUAUGUCUUCUAACUGUCUCUGUAUCUCAACUUCAGCAUGCUUCUCUCUUCUUUUGUUUUCCUCUGCUAGUUUAUCCAUAUCUUCUCUUUCUUUUUGUUGUUGAAUAACUAAAGCAUUUAGAUUUUCCCUCUCUUUUUGUAAGUCCUUCAUAAUUUUCUCUAGAGCAUUUGUCUCGUGUUGAAUCUCAGUCCUUAUGUCUUCUAAUUUUUGUUUUUCAAGCUUGAUCUCUUCUUUUUGGUCAUUUAAUUGGGUUUGCAUCUUUUCAAUAUGUUCCAUCUCUCUAUUAAUUCUCUCUUUGGUGGUUUCAACGUCCUCUUUCUCUUUCAGCAAUUGAUCAUUCAGAUGUGCUAGUCUUUUUCUCUCAGUUUUUAAGACUUGCAUGUCCUCGUCAUCUUGUCUGGACCUUUCAGUGGCUACCUGUGUCUCAACCCACUUUAUUUCUGCAGCUUUCCCAAUGUCUUCCACUUGUUGUUUGUGUUUGUUUAUUUCACACCUCUCUUGUUCUAGCUCACUCUUCUCCAUUGUCACUUCAUUCAUCAUUUCUUCUAGGUCUUUUGUCUGCUUUUGAAUUUGUUCUUUCAUGUGCAGCAGCUCGUCUCUUCUCAUUCUUAAAUCUUCAUUUUCCUUUUUAAUUUGUUCACGUUCUUCAGCCAUCUCAUCCUUAAAUUUCUCCAGAUUUUUCUUCUCUGCCUCUCUCUCCUCUGUUUUGAACUGUAGAUUUUCUAAUUCCUUAAGCUUAAUAUUCAGUUCAUUCACCAUGUCCUGUAAUCUCAUUUCUGCUUCUCUCUUUUCUUUUUCUAGAAACUGACAAGUGCUUUUCAAUUCUGAUUUUUCUCUGUUCAAAUUGUCAUUCAUCUGUUCCAGGUCAUCCUUCUGUCUCUUGGUUUCAUUGAGGAUUGCUUCAAUCUGGAUAAUUUUAUCUUGUAAGAUCUUAUCACUGUCCGUGACCCUUAUUUCUGCAGCCAUUUGCUGCAUUUCAGCUUUCUUCUUUUCCAGCUCACCCUUCUCUCUUGUUAUAAUGUCCAUCAUGUUUUCAAUUUCUCUCUGCUCAUUCUGGAGGUCGGCUUUCAUCCUUUCUAUUUCAUCUUUCUCUUCUUUUAAUGUGUGCAUAACACUGUGAGUUUCAUCAUAUUGCACUUCUGCAUUGGUUUUCUGUGGUUCCUCUUUCUGCAAAUCUGUUUUUAUUUGCUCCAGUUCAUGUUUUUCUCUCUCACAUUCCCUUUGUAUCUUCUGAAUUUCUUCUCUUUCAUUGUCAAUUUCAGUCUUCAUUUUUUCAAAUUCUGCUCUCCUUUGAUGAAGCUCUUUUUGUCUCCGUUCUUCAGUGUGCUCCAUUUCUUCUUGCUUUGUUUUCAUUUCCUCCUCAAUCUGUUUAAUCUUGUUUAUCCUUUUAUUCGCCUCAGUCAUAAUAAUUUUAAACUCUUCCUGUUCUUUGAAAAGUUGAGCUGCCAUUUCUUCUACCCUUUUCUUUUCUUUCAGUACAUCAUCCAAAAGUCUUUCUAUGUCCUCUGCUCUCCUUAACCUUGAUUCCAGCUUGUCUCUUUCUGUCUCUGUGUUUUGUUUCAUAAGCCUAAACUCCUCUUUAUGUGUCUCCAGAUCGAUUCUCAUUCUAUUCAGUUCAUUUCUUUCUGAGUUCAGCAUUGCCUGACGCAUCUCCAUUUCCAUUUGCUCCUUCUGCAGCCCAGUGAGUAUUUUUUCAACUUCAUCCCUCUCCUUUCUUAAUGCUUCCUUUUGGUUCUGUAUUUCCUCCAGGUGUCUUUUUAUAUACUCCUCUCUCUCUGGAAGUAUUUCAGUUAACUCGUGUUCCUCCAUUUCUUUGGUGUCCACCAUCUCUUGUCUCUUUCGUUUUAGCUCUGUAUUUAUGAAGUCCAACUCCUCUUGUCUCUGUUUCAUCUCAGCAGAGAUGGUUUCCAUUUCUCUCUUCUUUUUUUGUAGUUGAAAUUCCAUGUUUUCUAUUUUCUCCUGUUUGCUCUUGAUCUCCAUUAGAAUUUUUUCCAUGUCCAUCUUAAUUUGAUCUUGAGUCAUUUCUAACUCAGAUCUUUCAUUUUCCAUAUUCUGUCUGCAUAACUCCAUCUCUUCAUAUUGUUUCUCCAGAUUCUUCCUCUCUCUGUCAGUGUGUUGUCUCAUUGUCUCAAUCUCUUUCUGGUCUCUCUGUAAAACAAGUCUUGUCUUUUCUAGUUCCCUCUUCUCAGUCAUCAACAUUUCAGUAAGGCCAUCCACUUCAUCUUUAUUGAACUCCAACUUUACUGUCAUGGAUGGAUCAGCUAUAUCUUUAUAUUCUGUUGUCAGUGCAGUGUCUUCUUGGCUCGAGUCCAUUUUGGUUUCUUCACUUCUCAUUUUGAGCUCUGUGUCCUCCUGAUCUCUCAUUCUCUCUAAUUCGUCUUCCAUCCCUUUUGUCAUGAAAGUUGUAUAUUCCUUAUGAAUGCCUGUGUGUUCCUCAACAAUCUGUUCCUGAGGGGCUGAAAUGUUACCUACAGGAAUGUUGUCUAGAUCAGAUGUUUGUGUAGCAGAACUAACCAAAAUUAAUUCCAGCCUCUGUGUUGGUUGUUUUCUCUUCAUCUCGUCCAUUGCCUCUCUCUGAUGUUCAAGGAUUUUUUUGUUUCUUUCAAGUGCUUCCCUUUCCCUUUGAAUCUCGGACAAGAGUCUGUUGGCUUCAUCUAUCUGUAUCUGUUUUCCUUGAGAGGCCAUUUCUUCUCUCUUCUGUUGAAGAAGCUGUCCAGAUAGAUGUUCUUCUUUUAAUGUUUCAGACACAUCUUUCUCUUUUUCUAACUGUUGUGUCUGCUCUUUCAUGAUCUCUGUUUUAUCAGUCUGUCUCUUGAUUUCAGCCUUGGACUGUUCCAGAUCUUGCCUCUCAUCUUGCACUAUUUGCAAUUCCAGUUUGAUUUGCUCUUCUUGAGCAUUGAGUUCGGCUUUUGUUUGAUCCAUUUCCUUCUUUAGAUGGUCUAUCAUAUCCUUGCUCCUAUCAGUUUCUUUUUGUUCUAUCAAUAUCUUGGCCAUCAGUUGAUCAAGUUCCUCUCUCUCCAUCUUUGCUUUUACUCUCAUUUCUUCUUCCAUUUGUUGUCUGUAUUUUUCAAAAUCAUUUCUCAUGUUCUCUAGAUCUCUUCUCUCCUCAUUCACAACUCUUAUACUCUCCUCCAGUCUUUGCUGCUGUUGAUUAAUUUCAGCCUUUUCAGUCUGUAAGUCAUUUUUGAUUUCUUCAAUUUCGUCUCUUUGUUUUUGCAAUUUCUUCUGGAGAACAUCCAGCUCAUUCCACUUCUUCAUCUUGUCGUCUUUUUCUUUCUCUAAUUCAUUUCUCUGUCUCAAGAUUUCACCAGCCUUGUGCUCAAGAAGCUUCUUCUCUUCAUCCAUUGAUCUUUUACUCAUCUCUUCUUUUUCUUUUUGUUCUGUCAUGUGCUUCUCUAGGUCAUCAGCCCUUCUUUGCAAAUCUUCUCUUUCCUUUUCAAUGUUAUUUCUAUCUUUUUCCAGAAGAUUUUUCUCUGUCUCAAACUUUUGAUUUUGUUGUGAUAUAUCAAACAUGAUUUUCUCUAAUUCACCCCUUCUCCUGUUUGUUUCUUCUAUGACUCUUUCAUAUUCCUUAUUAGCCUGUUUAAGUUUUUCUUCCAUUUCUGUUUUUUCAUCUUUCUUUCUGGUGUCCUCCAGAACAUUCCUCAUAGACUCAGUCUUUGACUGUUCAUAUUCAUAAAUUCUCUGUUGUAAUUCUGUCAAUUUAUGAUUCAUUUCUUCUCUUUCUUUUUCUAGAAGGUCUCUGCAGUUCUUUAACUCUUGUUUUUGUUUAUUUAUAUCUGUGUUCAUCCUUUCCAGAUCUUCUUUUUGUCUGUUUGUUCUUUCAGUGACACUCUCAAUUUCUUCCUUUUCCUUUUGUAGAUGAGCUUCCUUUUCUUUCAUUGUUUGUCUCUCCUUAUUAAUUUCCUCUUCCAUGUAUUGCACUCGUUCACUUUCUUUUUGCAGUUCUGUCUUUAUUUGAGACAGAAAAUCUUUUUCAUCAUUGAUCUUUUGUCUCUCAAGUUCAAUUUCUUCUUCAUGAAGUUUAAUAUUAUUUCUCUUUUCUUCCUCCUCAUUCAAUAAUUUCUGUACAUUUUCUUUGCUUUUCUCAAUAUUAGAUUUUUCUAGAUCUGUCUGUUUUAUUUUGUUGUCAAGUUCUGAUCUCUCUUCUUCUAUUUGUUUUCUUUGUAACAUUACUUCAGACCACAUCUUCUCAAGGUCAUUUCUUUUCUGUUCAAUGAUCUUUUUGGCAUCAUUAAUUUUCUUCUGCUCAUGAUCUAUUUUAGUUUUCUCUCUUUCCAGUUCACUCUUUAUCUGACCAAAUUCUUCUCUCUCCAUCUUUUCUUUUACCAUCCUUUCUUCUUCUUUCUCUUGUUCUUUCUUAAUAUGUUCUUGCAGUGUACACAACUCUUGCAUUUUUAGGCAUAUGUCUUGAUGUUCCUGCUCAGCUUUAGUUUUCAGCUUUUGAAUCUUGACUUUGGUCUCUUCUAGACCUUUUCUUUCUUCUUCUAUUUCCUUUUGUUCUGUUAGAUAUUCUUCCUUCUGUUUGCUGACUUGAGCAUCAAAUGCAUUCAUUCUCAGUUGUAACACUGUCCAUUUAUGGUUUAUUUCUUCUCUUUCUUGUUCUAGAAGGUCUCUGCUGUUCUUCAACUCUUGUUUUUGUUUAUCCAGAUCCUCUUUCUGUCUCUUUGUUUCUUCAGUGACACUCUCUAUGUCUUCCUUUUCCUUUUGUAGAUGAGCUUCCAUUUCCUUCAGUGUUUCUCUCUCCUUCUUUAUUCCCUCCUCCAUGUAUUUGAUUUGUUCGCUUUCAUUUUGCAGUUCUGCCUUACUUUGAGCUAAAAUUAAUUUUUCAUCAGUGAUCUUUUGCCUUUCGAGGUCAAGUUCUUCUUUCUGGAGUUUAAUAUAAUUUCUCUGCCCUUCUACUUUAUCCAUUAAUUUCUGAACUAUUUCUUUGUUCUUUUCAAUUUCAUCCUUUUCUAGAUCAAUAUCUUGUAUUUUCUGGACAAGUGCUGAUUUCUCUAGUUUGAUUGCUUCUCUCAUGUCUUCCAUUUGCUUUCUUUCUGUCAUAAUGUCAGACCUUAUCUUUUGGAGGUCUUUUCUUUCCUGUUCAAACAUCUUCUUAUCAUUGUCCAUUUCAGUUUUCUCUCGUUCCAGUUCCCUUAUUAUCUGAUCAAGUUCUUCUUUCUCUAUCUUUGCUUUUACUCUCAUUUCUUCUUCUUUCACUUUUUCUUUAAUAAAAUGUUCUUGCAGAGUGUUCAACUCUUGUAAUUGUUGGCUUAUGUCUUGUUGUUCCUGCUCAGCUUUAGUCUUCAGCUCCAUGAUCUUGACUUUGGUCUGUUCUAGACCUUUUCUUUCUUCUUCCAUCUCAUUCUGUUUCAUGAAAUCUUGUUCCUUCUGUUGCCUGGCUUGAGUAUCAAAUUCAUCAAUUCUCUGUUGUAACUCUGUCCAUUUAUGGUUUAUUUCUUCUCUUUCUUGUUCUAGAAGGUCUCUGCUGUUCUUCAUCUCUUGUUUUUGUUUAUCCAGAUCCUCUUUCUGUCUCUUUGUUUCUUCAGUGACACUCUCAAUGUCUUCCUUUUCCUUUUGUAGGCGAGCUUCCAUUUCCUUCAGUGUUUCUCUCUCCUUCUUUAUUCCCUCCUCCAUGUAUAUGUUUUGUUCAGUUUGUUUUUGCAGCUCUGUCUUACUUUGAGCUAGAAUUAAUUUUUCAUCAGUGAUCUUUUGUCUUUCGAGGUCAAGUUCUUCUCUUUGGAGUUUCAUAUAAUUUCUCUGCUCUUCUACUUUAUCCAAUGAUUUCUGAACUAUUUCUUUGUUCUUUCCAAUUUCAUCCUUUUCUAGAUCAAUAUCUUGUAUUUUCUGGACAAGUGCUGAUCUCUCUAGUUUGAUUGCUUCUCUCAUGUCUUCCAUUUGCUUUCUUUCUGUCAUGAUGUCAGACCUUAUCUUUUGCAGGUCUUUUCUUUCCUGUUCAAUCAUCUUCUUAUCAUUGUCCAUUUCAGUUUUCUCUCGUUCCAGUUCCUUUAUUAUCUGAUCGAGUUCUUCUCUCUCUAUCUUUGCUUUUACUCUCAUUUCUUCUUCUUUCUCUUUUUCUUUCAUAAUAUGUUCUUGCAGUGUGUUCAACUCUUGUAUUUUUAGUCUUAUGUCUUGUUGUUCCUGCUCAGCUUUAGUCUUCAGCUCCAUGAUCUUGACUUUGGUCUGUUCUAGACCUUUUCUUUCUUCUUCCAUCUCAUUCUGUUUCAUGAAAUCUUGUUCCUUCUGUUGCCUGGCUUGAGUAUCAAAUUCAUCAAUUCUCUGUUGUAACUCUGUCCAUUUAUGGUUUAUUUCUUCUCUUUCUUGUUCUAGAAGGUCUCUGCUGUUCUUCAUCUCUUGUUUUUGUUUAUCCAGAUCCUCUUUCUGUCUCUUUGUUUCUUCAGUGACACUCUCAAUGUCUUCCUUUUCCUUUUGUAGGCGAGCUUCCAUUUCCUUCAGUGUUUCUCUCUCCUUCUUUAUUCCCUCCUCCAUGUAUAUGUUUUGUUCAGUUUGUUUUUGCAGCUCUGUCUUACUUUGAGCUAGAAUUAAUUUUUCAUCAGUGAUCUUUUGUCUUUCGAGGUCAAGUUCUUCUCUUUGGAGUUUCAUAUAAUUUCUCUGCUCUUCUACUUUAUCCAAUGAUUUCUGAACUAUUUCUUUGUUCUUUCCAAUUUCAUCCUUUUCUAGAUCAAUAUCUUGUAUUUUCUGGACAAGUGCUGAUCUCUCUAGUUUGAUUGCUUCUCUCAUGUCUUCCAUUUGCUUUCUUUCUGUCAUGAUGUCAGACCUUAUCUUUUGCAGGUCUUUUCUUUCCUGUUCAAUCAUCUUCUUAUCAUUGUCCAUUUCAGUUUUCUCUUGUUCCAGUUCCCUUAUUAUCUGAUCGAGUUCUUCUCUCUCUAUCUUUGCUUUUACUCUCAUUUCUUCUUCUUUCUCUUUUUCUUUCAUAAUAUGUUCUUGCAGUGUGUUCAACUCUUGUAUUUUUAGUCUUAUGUCUUGUUGUUCCUGCUCAGCUUUAGUCUUCAGCUCCAGGAUCUUGACUUUGGUCUGUUCUAGACCUUUUCUUUCUUCUUCCAUCUCAUUCUGUUUCAUGAAAUCUUGUUCCUUCUGUUGCCUGGCUUGAGUAUCAAAUUCAUCAAUUCUCUGUUGUAACUCUGUCCAUUUAUGCUUUAUUUCUUCUCUUUCUUGUUCUAGAAGGUCUCUGCUGUUCUUCAUCUCUUGUUUUUGUUUAUCCAGAUCCUCUUUCUGUCUCUUUGUUUCUUCAGUGACACUCUCAAUGUCUUCCUUUUGCUUUUGUAGACAAGCUUCCAUUUCCUUCAGUGUUUCUCUCUCCUUCUUUAUUCCCUCGUCCAUGUAUUUGUUUUGUUCAGUUUGUUUUUGCAGCUCUGUCAUACUUUGAGCUAGAAUUAAUUUUUCAUCAGUGAUCUUUUGUCUUUCGAGGUCAAGUUCUUCUUUCUGGAGUUUAAUAUAAUUUCUCUGCUCUUCUACUUUAUCCAUUAAUUUCUGAACUAUAUCUUUGUUCAUUUCUGUCUCAUCCUUUUCUAGAUCAAUUUCUUGCAUUUUCUGGUCAAGUGCUGAUCUCUCUAGUUUGAUUGCUUCUCUCAUGUCUUCCAUUUGCUUUCUUUCGGUCAUGAUGUCAGACCUUAUCUUUUGCAGGUCUUUUCUUUCCUGUUCAAUCAUCUGCUUAUCAUCGUCCAUUUCUGUUUUCUCUCGUUCCAGUUCCCUUAUUAUCUGACCGAGUUCUUCUCUCUCUAUCUUUGAUUUUACUCUCAUUUCUUCUUCUUUCUCUUUUACUUUCAAAAUAUGUUCUUGCAGAGUGUUCAACUCUUGUAAUUGUUGGCUUAUGUCUUGUUGUUCCUGCUCAGCUUUAGUCUUCAGCUCCAGGAUCUUGACUUUGGUCUGUUCUAGACCUUUUCUUUCUUCUUCCAUCUCAUUCUGUUUCAUGAAAUCUUGUUCCUUCUGUUGCCUGGCUUGAGUAUCAAAUUCAUCAAUUCUCUGUUGUAACUCUGUCCAUUUAUGGUUUAUUUCUUCUCUUUCUUGUUCUAGAAGGUCUCUGCUGUUCUUCAUCUCUUGUUUUUGUUUAUCCAGAUCCUCUUUCUGUCUCUUUGUUUCUUCAGUGACACUCUCAAUGUCUUCCUUUUCCUUUUGUAGAUGAGCUUCCAUUUCCUUCAGUGUUUCUCUCUCCUUCUUUAUUCCCUCCUCCAUGUAUUUGUUUUGUUCAGUUUGUUUUUGCAGCUCUGUCAUACUUUGAGCUAGAAUUAAUUUUUCAUCAGUGAUCUUUUGUCUUUCGAGGUCAAGUUCUUCUUUCUGGAGUUUCAUAUAAUUUCUCUGCUCUUCUACUUUAUCCAUUAAUUUCUGAACUAUUUACUUUGUUCUUUCCAAUUUCAUCCUUUUCUAGAUCAAUAUCUUGUAUUUUCUGGACAAGUGCUGAUCUCUCUAGUUUGAUUGCUUCUCUCAUAUCUUCCAUUUGCUUUCUUUCUGUCAUGAUGUCAGACCUUAUCUUUUGGAGGUCUUUUCUUUCCUGUUCAAACAUCUUCUUAUCAUUGUCCAUUUCAGUUUUCUCUCGUUCCAGUUCCCUUAUUAUCUGAUCAAGUUGUUCUCUCUCUAUCUUUGCUUUUACUCUCAUUUCUUCUUCUUUCACUUUUUCUUUCAUAAUAUGUUCUUGCAGUGUGUUCAACUCUUGUAAUUGUUGGCUUAUGUCUUGUUGUUCCUGCUCAGCUUUAGUCUUCAGCUCCAGGAUCUUGACUUUGGUCUGUUCUAGACUUUUUCUUUCUUCUUCCAUCUCAUUCUGUUUCAUGAAAUCUUGUUCCUUCUGUUGCCUGGCUUGAGUAUCAAAUUCACCAGCUCUCUGUUGUAACUCUGUCCAUUUAUGCUUUAUUUCUUCUCUUUCUUGUUCUAGAAGGUCUCUGCUGUUCUUCAUCUCUUGUUUUUGUUUAUCCAGAUCUUCUUUCUGUCUCUUUGUUUCUUCAGUGACACUCUCUAUGUCUUCCUUUUGCUUUUGUAGACAAGCUUCCAUUUCCUUCAGUGUUUCUCUCUCCUUCUUUAUUCCCUCCUCCAUGUAUUUGUUUUGUUCAGUUUGUUUUUGCAGCUCUGUCUUACUUUGAGCUAGAAUUAAUUUUUCAUCAGUGAUCUUUUGUCUUUCGAGGUCAAGUUCUUCUUUCUGGAGUUUUAUAUAAUUUCUCUGCUCUUCUACUUUAUCCAUUAAUUUCUGAACUAUUUCUUUGUUCUUUUCAGUUUCAUCCUUUUCAAGAUCAAUCUCUUGCAUUUUCUGGUCAAGUGCUGAUCUUUCUAGUUUGAUAGUCUCUUUCAAGUGUUUUUCCAUUUGUUCUCUUUCUGUCAUUGUUUCAGACCGCAUCUUCUCCAGGUCUUCUCUUUCCUUUUUAAUCAUCUUCCUGUCGUUGUCCAUUUCAGUUUUCUCUUGUUCCAAUUCCCUCUUUAUCUGGUCAAGUUCUUCUCUUUCCAUCUUUGCUUUUACUCUCAUUUCUUCUUCUUUCUCCUUUUCUUUCAUUAUAUGUUCUUGCAGUGUGUUCAACUCUUGUAUUUUUAGGCUUAUGUCUUGUUGUUCCUGCUCAGCUUUAGUCUUCAACUCCAGGAUCUUGACUUUGGUCAGUUUUAGACUUUUUCUUUCUUCUUCCAUCUCCUCCUGUUUUAUUAAAUCAUUUUCCUUCUGUUGUCUAACUUGAGUUUCAAAUUCAUCAAUUCUCUGCUGUAACUGUAUCCAUUUAUUGUGUAUUUCAUCUUUCUCUUGCUCUAGAACCUCUCUGUAUUUUCUCAGCUCUUGUUUUUGUUCAUUUAUAUUUGUGCUCAUCAUUUCCAGAUUUUCUUUUCGUCUAGUCGUUUCUUCAGUGACACUCUCAAGUUCUUCCUUUUCCUUUUGUAAAAGAGCUUCCAUUUCUUUCAGCGUUUCUCUCUCUUUCUUUAUUACCUCUUCCAUGCAUCUGAUUUCUUCACUCUCUUUUUGCAGUUUAGUCUUUAUUUGAGCCUGAAGAUCUUUUUCAUCAUUGAUCUUUUGUCUCUCAAGUUCAUGUUUUUCUUCAUGGAGUUUAUUAUAAUUUCUCUGUUCUUCUACCUCAUCUAGUAUCUUCUGUACAAUUUCUUUGCUCUUCUCAAUGUCACAUUUUUCUAGAUCAGUCUGUUUUAUUUUGUUGUCAAGGUUUGAUCUCUCUUCUUCUAUUUGCUUUCUUUGUAACAUUAUUUCAGACCUCAUUUUCUCCAGGUCAUUUCUUCCCUGUUCAAUAAUAUUUCUGUCAUCAUAUAUUUUCUUCUGCUCAUGAUUUAUUUCAGUUUUCUGUCUUUCCAGAUCACUCUUCAUCUGAUCAAGUUCCUCUCUCUCCAUCUUUAGUUUUACUCCCAUUUGUUGUCUAUAUUCUUCAGAUUCAUUCCUCAUAUUCUCCAGAUCUCUUCUCUCCUCAUUCACAGCUCUUAUACUCUUCUCCAGGCUUUGCUGCUGUUGAUUAAUUUCAGCCUUUUCAGUCUGUAACUCAUAUUUGAUUUCUUCCAUUCCGUCUCUUUGUUUUUCUAAUGUCUUCCGGAGAACAUCCAGCUCAUUCCACUUCUUCAUAAUGUCCUCUUUUUCUUUCUCUAUUUCAUUUCUCUGUCUCAAGAUUUCACCAGCCUUUUCCUCAAGAAGCUUUUUCUCAUCAUCCAUUGAUCUUUUACUCAUCUCUUCUUUUUCUUUUUGUUCUGUCAUGUUCAUCUCCAGGUCAUCAGCUCGUCUUUGCAAUUCUUCUUUUUCCUUUUCAAUGUUAUUUCUCUCUUUUUCCAGAUGGUCUUUCUCAGUCUUAAUCAGUUGAUUUUGCUCUUCUAUGUCAUCAAUAGUCUUUUCUAGUUCACUUUUCUUCCUCUUAUUUUCUUCCAUGGUAUUGGCACAUUGAUCCAUCAUUUGUUUAAGGUGGGACUCCCUUAUCUCCAUAUUUUCUUGCUCUCUUUUGAUCUCUUCUAAGACGUUUUUCAGAUUUUCAGCAUCAUUCUGCAUCUCAGAUUUUGUCUGGUCAACCAGUUUUCUUUCCUUUUGGAGUUUUUCUGCUUCAGUUUGGAUCACUUCUUGUUGUUCCACCAGCUUGGCUUUCGUGAUUUCCAGAUCUUUCGUUAACUUGUUAAUCAUGUUCCUGUUUUCACCAAUGUCUUCUUUUUCUCUUUGUAUUUCAUCUCUCAGUUGUGAAAGUUCUUCUUCCUGCUUUGCAAUAGUCUUCAUGUCCUCUUGCAUUCUUUGUCUCUGAGCUUCUAGUUCAGUCCUCAACUUAUCCAUUUCCCUUCUUUCUUCCGCUAUCUCUCUUACACUUUGAUCCAGUCUUUGCUGCUGCUCAGUAAUAUAUUUCUCUCUCUGCUCCAGCUCAGUCUUCUGAAUUAUCACUCUUUGUCUCAUUGAUUCUAUUUCAUCAUUUACCAUAUUUAUAUCAGCUUUCUCUUUUUCAGUUUGUUCUCUCUCAGUAAGAAGCUCUAUCUUAAUUUUUUCCAGUUUUUCUCUUUCUUUCUCUAGCUCUUCUAACUGGACUUGAACCUGAUCUUUCUGUUGUGUAGUCCAGAUCUGCAGAUCAUCUUUUUUCCGCUUCAUUUCUAUAUUUUCAUUGUCUAUUUCAUGCCGUAUCUUCUUAAGCAACUCAAAGUCCUUAUUGAUUUCUUGUUUUUGCAGUUCUAUAUCAACCUGCAUCUCUUCAAGGGCAUGUUGUCUCGUAUUGGUUUCCUCAUGAACUUUAUCUAAAUGUUCCUGUUCAGUGUGAAGCUGAGCAGCAAUUCCAUCUAAUUCUAUAUUUCUCUUCUCUACUUCCCUUUCCUUCCUCUGUAUGUUUAGCUCUUUUUCAUCAAGAGCAUUCUGCUUGUCUUGCAUGAGUUGCUUUUGUAGUUUAAUUGACUGAAUCUGAUGGUGUAUUUCAGCUUGCAUUUGUUCAACCUUGUCUCUUUCUUUGUUGGUCAUGUAUUUUGUGUUUUCCAUUUCUUCUUUGGCCUUCUGAAGUAUUUGCUUCUCUUCAUUCAUUUUUAUGAUGUUAAGCUGCAAUAUCUGUUUCUGCUGUUCAGUUUCAAAUCUCUGUUUUUCCAGAUCUUCUCUCUCUUUUUUGUUUUCCUCACUGGUUUGAUCAUUCUGUCGCUGCUGGUUGAGUACCUCGACUUGCCGUUCCUCAAUGCUUGAUUUUUCCAUAAUAAGUUUGUUCUUCAAAAUUUCAUUUUCAUUUUGCUUGUUCUUUAUCUCUGCUCUUAAAGCUUCUAGUUUGUUUCUUAACGUCAUCAAGUUAUCCCUCUCUUCCUCUGUUUCUUGUUUUUCACGAAGAAGUUCUUCCUUCAUCUCCUCAAGGGCCAGUCUGUCCUUUUGUAUCUGCUCAAUCUGGCCCAUCAUUUGUUUUUCCAAGUCUUUCUUUUCUUUGUCAAUAUCUGUCUUUUCUUUGUCAAUUUCUGUCUUUUCCUUUUCAAGCAUCACUUUUGUUUUCUCAAUUUCUUGCUUUUGUCUCUCCAUCUCCUUUAUCAUCUUAUCAAGAUCCCUCAUUUUCAUUUCAGUCUCUUCAGACAAACAUUUAAUUUCUUCUCUGUCUUUAUCUAGUUGAACUUUAAUUUCUCUUUCUUUCUCCUUUAGGUUGGUGUCUAUUAUUAUCAUUUUAUCUGUUUGUAUCUUUAUCUCAGCUUUUGUCUUUUCAAGAUUAAAUUUAUCAUCUUGAAGUCGUUGAUUAUCCUUUUCGAUUUCUACUUUUGUUCUCUCCAGGUCAACCCUCAUUUGCAAUAAUUCUUCCAUUUCUUUAUCAUUAUUUUCUUUCUUACUUUUAAUGUCAUCUCUAAUUAUUUGCAACUCACUGUGAAGUUUGUUAGUUUCUUCCCUCUGUCUCUCUAAUUGUCUGAUUUCUUCCUCCACUCUUUGCUUUUCACCCUCAAUUUCCAGCCAGCAUUUCUCUUGAUCCUUUCUUUCCUUCUUGAUAACAUUUUGGAUCUCUUUGGAUUCUGCUCUUAUUUGUUCUAGUGCAUUCUUCUCAUCUUGUACAUUCAGUUUCUCAUGUCUUAGAUUUUGUAAUUGCUUCUCCAGAUCAUUUUUCAUGCUUUCAAGUUCAGCCUUCUCUUGAUCCAUCAACUUUUUGCUGAUUUCAAGCUGCUCUUUUUCUUUCUGUAUUUCUUCAGUCAGCUUUCGGUAUUCAUUGCAUUCUCUUGUAAUUGUUUCAUCCAUUUCCAUUAAUCGCUGUCUCUCCUCUUGAAUUUCGGCCUCCUUUCUUUCCAAAUUACUUUGAAUCUCCUUCUUGAUUUUAUACAUUUCAUCUUGAAUCUGUUUUAGCUGCUGCUGCUCUUCCAUGAAAGUUUUUACUUUGUUUUCAAGCUCACUUUCCUUUCUUUGCAGUUCUUCUCGAAGUGUAUCCAGUUUCUGUUUUUCUGAAUGUACAGUUUUCUUCUCUUUGUCAACAUCAUCUCUUUCCUUCAGAAUAUCCACCUCCAUUUGCUCUAGAGCCUCUUUGUGAUUUUGAAUCUCUUGUUUCGCCAUCUCAUCUUGUUCUUUCUGCUGUAAGGCUUUUCUUUCCAGGUCCUCUGUUUCUCUCACUAACACUUCCCUCUUAAGCUGCAGAUAUGUCAUUUCCCUUUCAUAAACAUCUCUGUCGUUUUUCAGUUGUAUCUUAUCAUCUUGAAGUUUUGCACUCAUUAUACUGAGAUCUUUCUUCUUGGUCUCUAUUUCGGUGAUGAUAUUCUCUAUAUCUUCUCUUUGUGUUUGAAGUUUUAAACUGAGGUCUGUUAAUCUGUCCCUCUCGUUGUUUGCUUCCUGAAUGAGUCUGUCAGUGAUCUCUGACUUCUUCUGAAGCUCAGCAUUCUCUUGUUCAAUCAAAUGUCUCUCUGUGCUGACCAUCUGCUUCAUUUCUUCCACUUGCUCUUUUUCUUUGUUUAGUUCACUCUUCAUCUCCUGUAGUUUCUCCUCCAUUUUUGUAGCAUCAUGGAGUUUUUCAUCAAGUUUAGCCCUCUCGUUUUCUAGUUCAUUCCUCGUCUUUUCUAGAUUUUUCAGUUCCACAUCGUAAGCCUUCAUGGCAGCACUCACUUCAUGCCUUUGUUGAUUGAUUUCAGCUUGUUCAUCUUUGAACCAAUCCUUCUCCAUGAUCAAAGCAUGUUUUGAAGAUUCAACAUCAACUCUCUGUCUGUGUAGUUCACUUCUAGAGAGUUCCAGUUCUUGCUUCUCUUGCCUUAAAUUGUCCAUUUCUUUUUCUAUAUCUUCUUGCUUCCUCAGUAUUUCCAUGUUGAUCUUUUCAAGUGUAUCUUUCUUUUUCUCCAUUUCUUCAACAAUCCAACUUUUCUCUUCCAACUCAUGUUUCUGCUUCUCCAGUAUCCGCUCUCCCCUCUUUACUUCAGAAGUAAUGCCUUCCAGUUCAGCCUUUUUCUUUUCAUGCAGGGUUUUCAUGUCUUCCAUGGUUUGCCAUUGGUUUUGUAUGUCUCUGUUGAGCUGUUCCAGAUCACGCUUGUUUCUCAAGAGUUCCUUAGUGACCAUUUGCAGUUCUUCCUUGUUCUUUCUUGUAUCCUUAAACUCUUCCAUUAUUUCUUUAGCUAUUUCUACCUUAACCAGCUCUCUUUUGGUCUCCACAUCCUCCUUUUCUCUGUUUAUCUCAUCCUUCAACUGCUCCAGUUCUUCUUUUUCUUUCUGCAGCAUUUCUCUCAUGUUCUCUUCCACCUGUUGCUUUUCUGCAAGUUCUGCUCUCAUCUUCUCCAAUUCAUUCUUAUCUCUUCUGGUGGUUUCUAUCUCUUUUCUAAGGCUUCCAAGAUUUUCCCGUAUUUGUCCAAUAUCUUGAAUGAGCCUCUGGAUCUCAGACUUGAAGUUUUCCUUUUCAUCUCUCACCAACUUACUUUCCUCCAUCCUGCUCUCCAUGUCAACUUUAAGAUUUCUCACCAUUUCCCUGAUUUUUACAACCUCUAAAAUUAGUCUUUGGAUGUCAGCAUUGGUGCUUUCCUCAUCUUCUAGAUUCACAGUUUUCUCCACCAAUAGCUCAAAAUCCUCUCUUGCACAUUGAACAUCAUUUCUGAGUAUUUCCAGCUCCUGCCGCUCUCUGUUGAUCUCCUCUCUUUCCUUUGCUAUCUCAGUCUUCAUUUUCUCCACCUCAUCCCUCUUUCUUAUCACUUGUUUCAUCUUCUGGUCCAGAUCUUUCUUUUCUAGGAAUAUUUCAGACCUUAAGACUUCCAGUUCUCCCUUCUCAUGCAUCAUUUUCUGAAUCCUUGUUUCUAGGACUUCUCUCUGGCUCUGUAUAUCCAUCAGCUCCACCUCUCUAGUGUCCUUUUCAUGUUGUAAUAUCUCAGACCUCAUGUUUUCUAGCUCAUCCAUCUGAUGUUUUAAGCCUGCUUUAGUUUUCUGAAGUUCUACCUGCUGUUUAUCCAGCUCAGCCUUCAACUCUGUUAGUUUGUCUAUUUGUCUGUUAAUUUCAUCUGUCUGACUCUCACUCUCUUCUUGCUGGUCAUCCAUGCUUAAUGAUUCCAUUUUCUUCCUUAAUUCCUCUGAAUCUCUCCUCAUUUCUUUCUCUUUUCUGGAAUGUUUAACUGUUUGUACUGUGUUUUCUCUAGUUGUUUCUUCUAGAAGGUUUUUGAGAAUUUCAUAUUGCUGCUUCAUGUCAACGAUUUCUUUGUUCAGAAGUUCAUUUUCGUCAUGAAGUUUUUGUUUGUCCAAUGCCAUUUCUUGUUUUUGUCUCUCCAAAUCAGCUCUGUUUUGCUCAAGAUCACUUCGCUCUUUGCUCAACAAGUCUUUGGUACUCUCAAUUUGCUGCUUCUCUUUUUGUAUCUCCUUGUUCUGUUGCUCAUAGGUUUCCUUCAUGCUAUGUUUCAUGGCUUCGACUUCCAGCCUCAUGUUCUCCAGUUCAAAUCGUUCAUUUCUAGCAGCCUUGACUUCAUCUUUCAUUCUUCUGAGAACCUCUCUGACAUGUUCAAUUUCCUGGAUCAGCCUCUGCAUGUAAGCACUCAUUUCUUGCCUUUCCUCUGAAUCCGCUUGAACAUUAACAUCUCUCUGCAUGCUUCUUUCCAGGUCAUGUUUUGUUCUCCAGGCCAUUUCCCUAGUCUUUUCAGCCUCUUGAAUAAGCCUCAGUAUCUUGGUGUUUAUUUGUUCUUUCUCUUCCAGAUCUCCACCUCUUUCUUCCGUAUGAGAUAGUAGUUCCUCUCCUGCUCGUUGUUUCUCAGCUUUCAUUCGCUCCAUGUCCUCACGCUCUAUACUUAACAUGACUCUGUCCAUUUCCAGUUUCUCAUUUGCACUUUCAAUAUCAGCUCUCAUUUUCUCCAGCUCAUCUCUCUUUCUCGCUGCCUGUCUCAUCUUGUGAUCAAGAUCUUUCCUCAUGCUAUCAGUUUCAUCCUGAAGAAGCUUCAAUUCUUUCAUCUCAUGUUUAGUCUUUUGCAUCUUGUCCUCUAAUUCAUCUUUCUGUUUGAGUAUUUCAGCUCUCAUACCAAUGAGUUCCUCUACUUGUGAUUGUCUUUUAGUCUCAAACUCUUCUUUUUGGAUUAAAAUAUUUGAUUUGAUCUCCUCAUAUUUCUCCAUUUCUUUUGUAGCCUCUCUCAACAUUUCAUCAUUUGCUUUUCUUUCUUUUGCUAACUUAGCUUUCAUUUGCUCUAGUUGAAUUCUUUCAUCUUGAAUAUCCUGUUUUUGAACUUUUAUCUCCUCUAAUUCUUUAUGUAGAUUUGAUUUAUUUUGUUCCAUAUCAUCUAUGUCUCGUUUCAGUUGCGUUCUGCUUUUCUCAGUCAAUUCCUUUUCAUCCAAAAGCUCUUUCCUCAGCUGUUCCACAUUUUCAAUGUCUUUCUUUAGUGUCUCCAUCAGCUGACGCUGCUCUAACAGUUCACCUCUUUCUCUCUCCAGGUCAUGUUUUUGCUUUAAGAUCUCCACACUUAUCUGAUCAAGACUAUCUCGCUUUUUCUGCAGGUCUGCACGUUUGAUGUCACUCUCCUCGGAUUGUCUUUUGAAAUCUUCCUUGGUUUUUUCCAGAUCCAUCUUUUCCUUUGUAACAAUUGCUUUGUCUACAGCAAUGGCUUGUUUUUGUCUUUGUAUCUCAGCUUGUAUUUCAUCCAGGGUGUCAUUUUUCAUUUUGAUCUCCUUAACAAAUUGUUGUCUCUCUUUUUCUAACUCUUCUGCAGUCCUCUGACCUUCUUUCUGAACUUCUAGCUUUAACUUCUUAAUAUCCUCUCUCUUCUUUUCCAGCUCAUCUUGUUCAUUUUUAAAAGCUUGUUUCAUAUUUUGGAGGUUUUCCAAGUCUCUAGCCAACUCGGCUCUCUUUUGUUCCAGAUUCUCAAAAUCAUCCUUUUCUUUUAUUAUGUUGCUUUUCAUGUCAUCCAUUUCUUUUUGUUUAUUUUGAAGUUCUGUUCUCAUUUGUUCUAGUUCACUCUCUUUGUGUUGUAAUUGUUCCUUCUCAUCUUCAAUUUGAGCUAUUUGUCUCAAGUUAUCUGUACUCAUUUGCUUCAGAAUGUCUUUAUCUGUCUGUAAGUCAGUUCUUUGUCUGUCUAGUUCUUCCAUGGCUUGGUUUAUCUCUGCCUUGGUUUUCUCCAGCUCAGAUCUUUCUUCUUGAAGCAAGUCUUUGGCAGACUGAAUAUCCUUUCUUUGUUUCUCUGUCUCAUCCAUGAGCUCUUCCGCCUGUUGGUAGUCCGCUGGAAUACCACUGACGUCUAAUUGCUUUUUAAAUUUGGCUGCCAUCUCUUCUGCCCUCCAUCUUUCAUUCUUUGUCUUCUCAGAUAGUUUCUCCAAGUCUUCAGCUUGUCUUUGAAGGUCGCUUUUCAUCCUCUCUAGUUCCUCCUUCUCAUUUUCAAAGGUGUGUUUCUCAACUUUUAGAUUCUUUAAUUCUUUCUCCAUAUCCAUUUUUUGCCUCUCCAUAAGAUCCAAAUUUUUGGUCAACACCUCUCUGUCUUUUUCAACCUGAUCCUUUUCCUCCAGUAAUUUUAGUCUCAGUUGUUCACAGGUCUCCUUUUCUUCCUCUAGACUGACCAUCUCUCUCUCUACAUUUCUCUUCUGUGCCAUCAUUUCCACUCUGUCUCUUUCUACGUUGGUCAUUUCUGUCUUUGUGAAUUCCAUUAGAUCAUCAACCUCUCGCUGUAAUAGAUCAACGUCAGUUUGUCUCUGGUCCAGUUGACUCAUUUCCAUCAUAAUUGUGUUUUUCAGUUCAUCCAUUUCAUCCUGUUGUUGUAAAAUGGUUUCCUGCAGCUUUGCAAGUUCACUUUCUCUGCGAGAAAGGCUUUCAUUCGCUUUUUGAAUAGUAUCCACUUGUUUCGAGAUGUUCGCCCUCAUUUCUUCAAGAGCGUCUCUCUCUGUCCGCAUCUCUUUUAUUGACAUCUCAUUCCUUUCUUGCUGUUCUGCAAGAAGUUUGUUGGCUUUAGCAAUUUCUGUUUUGAUUUUCUCUAAAUCAGUCUUCUCCAUUUCAAACUCAGUUGCUUGCUUUUGUUGAUUACAUUUUUGGAUAUUAAUCUCCUCAUUAAGGCUUUCAAGAUUUCUUCUCUCUUCCUGAAGUUGAGCUGACAUUUCUUCUAGCUUCUGUCUUUCAUUGUGCAUGUCCUGCUUUUCCUUUUCAAUGUGUUCAGCUUCCCUUUUCAGUUCAGCUCUCAUCUGUUCCAGUUUGUCCUUUUCAUCUUGAAUAAACGUCUUCUCUAACAUCAUCUCCUGUUUAUGAGGUAAAUCCUCAGCCUCAGGUAAGUCUGACUUUUGGCUCUCAACAUCUGUUUCUAAUGCAUCUUUUAAGUCCAUUUCCAGCAUCUGCUCCAUCAAGACACAUUUCCCAUCUGAAUCUGACAUUUCUUUGUCUGUUAAGGAUUUGACUGCAUCCACGUCACUCUUUUGAAGAAACAUUUUAGCCUCUGACUUCUCAAGUAGACUCUCUUCUGUUAUGCCAAAUCUCAGGUGAUCAAUAUUUUCUUGUUUUCUUUUGAUGUCUGCCCGCAUUCUUUCAAGAUCUUCCUUUUCUAUUUGCAACUCUUGCUUUUCAUCUUCAAGUGCCAUUUUUUCUCUUCUUAUAUUCCCAAUCAUCUGUUCAAGCAUGUUUCUCUCUUCAUGCAUCUCUGCCAGUGUGAUCUCAAUGUUUGUUUUUUGUUCAGAAAGCUGUUUUUCAAGCUCUUCCUUGGUUUGAGACAUCUCAGCUUUGGUUUUCUCUAGGUCAGACCGUUCCCUUCUAAUCAAGUCUUUGCCUCUCACCAUUGCUUCUUGUUCCCUUUGUAUUUCAGUAUAGCUUUCAUCCAGAAUACCUCCCUUCUUUUUAAUUUCCUCCAUGAGAUCACUGAUUUCUUUCCUCUCUUUCUGGAGUUGAGCUGUCAUUUCCUCCAGUUUUUGUCUUUCAUCUUGUGUUUUUAAUUUGAUCUUCUCGAACUCUUGUGUCUCUCUUUGCAGGUCAGUUUUGAUCUGUUUUAUUACUUCCUUCUCAUUCUCCAAAGCUUCUCUCUCAUGUUUCAGACUCUCUGAGUCUCUGUCUACAUUAACUAGUUUUUGUUGCAGAUCUUCCAUGUCUCUCUUCAGCAGUUGUUUGUCAUUUUUCAAUAUUUCCUGAUUAGCCAAUAGCUCCAUCAUCUGAAGUUCAACAUCUUCAGACUUCUUUCUCAGCUCAGUCAUCAUGUCCUGUUUUUCCCGGAUCACUGCAACUCUUUCACUUUCAAUGUUGUUCUUUUCCUUUUUCAUUUCACUUUGUUGUUUAUGAAUCUCUGCUUGUAGUUGAUCUAGUUCAUCUUGUCUCAGUCUUAUUUUCUCUUUCUCGUUUUCAAUUUGAUCAGUUUCUUUGGAGAUGUUCAAUCUCAUUUCCUCAAGGUUGUUUUUCUCUCUUUGUAGAUCUGCCAUUGAAGACUCACUUGCAGCUUUCAUUUCAUCCAGAAUCUCAUGUUUUCUCUUUGUAUCUUCAGCAAGAUGAACAAUAUUUUCUUUCUCUUUCUCAAGUUCUUCAGCCAUCUUUUCCAAACUCUGUCUCUCAUUUUGUGUUUCUUCUUUGAGCUUUCUGAUAUCAUCAGCUUCUCUUUGCAGAUCAAUCUUCAUCUGUUCUAACUUGUUCUUCUCAUCUUCAGUCACUUGUUUUUGAAGUGUCAUGAUCUUUAGGUCUUCAGUCAGAUCUUUUCUACUUUGGUCUACAUCAUCUCUUUCUUUCUUCAGUUGCUGUUUCUGUUUUUCAAUCUCUUUGUUUUAUCUUUAUCUAGUUGGCUUCUCUCAUUUCUCAUUUUUUCCAUAAUGUCACUCACUUCUGUCUGUUGUUUGUCUAGCUCAGACUGUCUCAGAUCAAGCUGACUUCUGUCUUUUAUUAUAAUAUUUCUGUCAUUGUCUAGUUCCUGUUUCUGAUUCUGAAUUUCAGUUUUCAGUUGUUCGAGUUCAUGUUGUUUUUGUCUUAUUUGUUCCUCUUGAUUUUUAAUUUCAUGUAUUUGUCUUGUGAUGGUCUCAUUCAUCUCCUUUAGGUUGUCUCUCUCUUUCUGUAUCUCUGCCUGUAUGAUUUCUUUCUCUUCUGCUUGCUCAGCAAAUAGUUUUUCAAGAUCUUCUUUGAUUUUAGCAAUUUCAUGUUUGGUUUUCUCCAAUUCAUGUUUUUCCUUUUCAAUCAUGUCUCUAUCAGAUUGAAUGGCUUUAGUUUUCACUUCAAUUUCUGUGUUCAUUUCAUCCAAGACCAUGUCUCUUCUUUUGGUCUUCUCAAAGAGGCUUUCAGUUUCUUCUCUCUCUUUCUGGAGUUGAGCUGUCAUUUCCUCCAGUUUUUGUCUUUCGUCUUGUGUUUGUAGUUUGAUCUUCUCGAACUCUUGUGUCUCUCUUUGCAGGUCAGUUUUGAUCUUUUUUAUUACUUCCUUUUCAUUCUCCAAAGCUUCUCUCUCAUGUUUCAGACUCUCUGAGUCUCUGUCUACAUUAACUAGUUUUUGUUGCAGAUCUUCAUGUUUCUCUUCAGCAGUUGUGUAUCAUUUUUCAAUAUUUCCUUUUCAGUCAAUAUCUGCUUCAUCUGAAAGCUCAACAUCUUCAGACUUCUUUCUCAGCUCAGUCAUCAUGUCCUGUUUUUCUCUGAUCAUUGCAGCUUUUUGAGUUUCAGCAAUGCUCUUCUCAUUCUUUGCGAUCUCCACAAUGUCAUGCAGCUCCUUCUGUUGUUUUUCUAUUUCAGUCUCUCUGAGAUCAAGCUGCUGCUUCUCAGUCAUGAUGAUUUCUUUGAGGUUUUUCAUUUCACUUUGUUGUUUUUGAUUCUCUGCUUGUAGUUGCUCUAGUUCAUCUUGUGUGAGUCUAAUUUUCUCUUUCUCAUUUUCAAGAUCAUCAAUUUGUUUAGAGAUGUUCAAUCUCAUUUCCUCAAGGUUGUUUUUCUCUCUUUGUAGAUCUGCCAUUGAAGACUCACUUGCAGCUUUCAUUUCAUCCAGAAUCUCAUGUUUUCUCUUUGUAUCUUCAGCGAGAUGAACAAUAUCUUUCUUUCUCUUUCUCAAGUUCUUCAGCCAUCUUUUCUAAAUUCUGUCUCUCAUUUUGUGUUUCUUUUUUGAGCUUUCUGAUAUAUCAGCUUCUAUUUGCAGCUCAAUCUUCAUCUGUUCUAACUUGUUUUUCUCAUCUUCAGUCACUUGUUUCUGAAGUGCCAUCAUCUUUAGUUCUUCAGUCAGAUCCUUUCUUCGUUGGUCUUCAUCAUCUCUUUCUUUCUUCAGUUGCUGUUUCUGUUUUUCAAUCUCUUCUUUGUCUUUAUCUAGUUGGCUUCUCGCAUUUCUCAUUUUGUCCAUAAUGUGACUCACUUCUGUCUGUUGUUUGUCUAGCUCAGACUGUCUCAGAUCAAGCUGACUUCUGUCUUUUAUUAUAAUAUUUCUGUCAUUGUCUAGUUCCUGUUUCUGAUUCUGAAUUUCAGUUUUCAAUUGUUCGAGUUCAUGUUGUUUUUGUCUCAUUUGUUCCUCUUGAUUUUUCAAAUAACGUGUUUGUCUUGUGAUGGUCUCCUUCUUCUCCUCUAGGUUGUCUUUCUCUUUCUGAAUCUCUGCUAGUAUGAUUCCUUGCUUUUCUCUUUCUUUUUCAAGAUCCUCCUUUGCUUUAGCAAGUUUCCUUUUGAUUUUCUCAAGAUCGUGCAUUUCAUUCUCAAUCAUGUCUCUAUCAAAUUGAAUUUCUUUCAUUUUAACUUGAAUUUCUUUGUUCAUUUCAUCCAAGACCAUAUCUUUCACUUUUUUCUUCUCAGUAAGAUCAUUGAUUUCUUCUCUCACUUUCUGGAGUUGAGCUGUCAUUUCCUCCAGUUUUUGUCUUUCAUCUUGUGUUUGUAGUUUGAUCUUCUCGAACUCUUGUGUCUCUCUUUGCAGGUCAGUUUUGAUCUUUUUUAUUACUUCCUUCUCAUUCUCCAAAGCUUCUCUCUCAUGUUUCAGACUCUCUGAGUCUCUGUCUACAUUAAUUAUUUUUUGUUGCAGAUCUUCCUUGUCUCUCUUUAACAGUUGUCUAUCAUUUUCCAACAUUUCCCUUUCAGUCAAUAUCUGCUUCAUCUGAAGCUCAACAUCUUCAGACUUCUUUCUCAGCUCAGACAUCAGGUCCUGUUUUUCCCUGAUCUCUUUUUGCAGAUUUUCUAAUGUGGACUCAUGUAAUACUUUCAUUUCAUCAAGAAUCUCAUUCUUUCUCUUUGUAUCUUCAGCAAGAUGAACAAUAUCUUCUUUCUCCUUCUGAAGUUUUUCAGCCAUCUUUUCCAAACUCUGUCUCUCAUUUUGUGUUUCUUCUUUUAGCCUUCUCAUAUCUUCAGUUUGUCUUUGCAGCUCAAUCUUCAUCUGUUCUACGUCAUCCUUCUCAUUUCGAAUAGCUUUUUUAUGAUAUUGAAGCUCCUUUAUCUCUCUGUCUAGGGCUGCUCUUUUUUCAUUUAUGUCAUUAUUCAGUUCUGCCUUCAAGAGCUCCAGUUCAGUCUCCAUUUGGUGUUUCUGUGUUAGCAUUUCAGACUUCUCUUUUUCAAUAUAAGCCCUUUCUCCUGUUGUAAAUGCCAUGACUUCAUUUACCUUUCUCUGUUUUUGAUCUAUUUCAGUUUUCUUCUUUUCAAGUCUGUCUUUUUCCAUUGUGAGAGCUUUUCGUGAGGCUUCCAUUUCAUCUUGCUGCCUAUAAAUUAGAGCUUGGAGUUGUUCAAGUUCAGUCUGUCUCAUACUCAUUUGUUGUUUCUCAUUUGCAAUGUUGUCCUGUUGCUCUGAAAUACUAUCUCUCAGUAAAAGAAGCAUGUCUUUUUCUUUCUGUAUUUCUGCUAGUGUGAUCUUGUUCUUUUCUCUUUCUUCAACGAGCUGGGUUUCAAGAUCCUCCUUCGCUCUUGCUAUAUCUGUCAUCACCUUCUGCUCAUCUAUCUCUGUUUGCUCUUUCUGAAUUUCCAUUUUUAGACUUUGCAGCUCCGCUUGUUGGUAUCUUGUUUGUUCAAUGUCGUUUUCUAGAUCAUCUCUCUGUUGUGAUAUGUUCAUCCUUAACUGCUCAAGAAUGUGUUUCUCCUUCUGUAUCUCUGCCAGUGUUAGCUCAUUUUGUCUUUUAUGUGAUUCAAUUUGGUUCUCAAGAUCUUCUUUGGCUCUGGCUAUCUCUGCUUUAGUUUUCUCCAGGUCAGAUUUGUCCUUUUUAAGAGUGUCUCUAUCAGAUUCAAUUGUUUGUUUUUGUUUUCUUAGAUCUCCUUCCUCUGAUCUUAUUCUGGCAAAAGAAAUCUCUAUAUCUUCCUUCUCUUUUUGAAGGAUGAUCGCCAUUUCCUCAGCCUUCUGCCUGCCAUUUUCUAUGUCUUGCCUUAGUUUAGCAAUAAUUUCCUUUUCUUGUUGGAACUCAUUUUUCAUCUUAUCAAAUUCCUGCUUUUCUUUGCCAGUCAAUUGUUUCUGGUAGUUUAAGGUCUCAAACUCCUCAGCUAAGAUGGUUCUAUUUUCUUUUAUAUCCUCCAGAUCUUUGUUCAGUAUUUGCCUGCUGUUUUCAAUAGAUUCUUUUUCGUGGAGAACUUCUUGCUUCAUCAGCUCCACUGUUUCACUUUCCCUCUUCAGUUCUACUGCAAUGCCAUUCACUCUUUGUCUUUCUUCCAUUACAUUAGUCCUCUCUUUUUCAAGUCUGUCCAUCACACUCUCUAAUUCUCUCUUUUGCUUUUCCAUUUCAGCCUGUCUUUCAUUAAGCUGACUCUUUUCUUUCAUGAUAACAUCCUGAAUCUCUUCUAUUUCUUUCUGUUGUGCAUGAAGUUGUGAUGUUUGUAUAUUCAGGUCAUUUUCUUGGUGUCUCAAACUUUCCUUCACUAUUUUAAUACCAUGUUCCUCUUGUGAAAUGUUCAUCUUCAUUUGCUCAAGGGAAUUUCUCUGCUUCUCCAUCUCUAACCGAUCAAUAUCAUUCAUUUUUCUCUUUUCAGCAAGAUCGUCUUUUGCUCUCGCUAUGUCUCUUUUGCUUUUCUCCACUUCAAACUUCUGGUUUUCUAAUACAUCUUUUUCAGUCUCAAUGUCUUGCUUUUGUUUUUCUAGCUCAAGGCGCAUCCUCUCUAGAGCUUCUUUUCUGUAAUUUCCCUCAUGUUGAAUUUGAGCUGCCAUGUCUUUUAUACUCUGCUUUUCAGCUACCACCUCUUUCUUUAGUCUCUCAGUAUUGUCAGCCUCUUUCUGAAGGUCAGCUCUUAUCUGCUGUAUCUCUUUCUCAAACGAUUGCCUCUGAAACUGCAAGUUUUCAAAUUCUUUGUGCAGUUUGGCUUUAUUUUUCUCUAUGUCUUCCUCAUCCAUUUCUAGUGAUUUCAUCCGGCUUUCAAAUACUUCUUUUUGCUCAAUUAAAUAUCUCUUUUGGAGCUCCACAUUUUCAUAUGCCACCCUCAGUUCUUCUCUCAAAUUCUCCAUUUCCUGUCUCUCUUUCUCCAGAUCUGUCGCGUCUCUAUCUCUUGCAGUCUUAACGUAUUCUAUUUUUUCAUGUGCAACUGUCCAUUGUUGAUCUUGGUCAGCUUGCAUCUGCUCAACUUGCAUCUUUUCCAUUCUUAAACUGCUCUUUAACUCAUCUAUUUGUUUUUGUUUGUUUUCAACCUCUGCUUCUUUUUGUUUCAGUUCAUUUUCUCUCUGUCUUAAAUUUUCUUUAUCACUUUCAACGAUGCACCUUUGAUUUGAGAUGGUUUCACUCAUCUGGGUAAGAUUGUCUCUUUCUUUCUCUAUAUCUGCCAGUAUAAUAAUGUUCUGUUCUUUUUGCUGAGCAAAUUCAUCUUUGAGAUCUCUGAGCUUAGACUUUUCCUGUUCUAGCACAUCUCUCUCAGACUCAACAUAUCGCUUUUCUUUUUCAACCUCCAUGUGCAUCUCAUCCAGAGCUUUGGACCUCUUUUCAAUCUCUUCACCUAGACUAUCAGUGUAUUGUCUUUCUUUCUGAAUUUUGGCUUCUAUAUCUUUUACGUUUUGUAUGUCAUUCUGAACAGCUUGUCUUACAUUUUCAAUGACACCGGCUUCUUUUUGCAGAUCAGCUUUCAUGCCCUUCAAUAUCUCAAAUGCAUUUUCCUGCUUUUCUACAUCAGCUUUCAUUUUAUCCAGUUCCUCUAUCUGUCUUUUUGUCUCUUCUGAAAGGCUCACAAUGGCAUCUCUCUCUUUCUGAAGUUGCACAGCGGUGUUUUUAAGCUUCUGUCUUUCAGCUAGUGUAUCUUGUCUUAGCUUCUCAGUAUCUUCAGCUACUUGUUGCAGCACAGAUUCAGUCUGUUGCAACUUGCUUUUCUCUUCUGCAAUACUUUGUCUUUGUAAUUUUAUCUCCUCUGCCUGACUACCCAAAUUGAUUUUCUUCUGCUCCAGAUCUUCUAUAUCUCUCAGUAAAACUAUUCUGCAGUCCUCAAUAAGUCGCUUCUCAUUUAGUACCUCUAUUUUCACAAGCUCCACAGUUUCUAGUUCUCUGUUUAAUGUAUCUGUCAAGUUACUCUCCAUCUGCUGCUUCUGUUCCAUUAUAGCUGCCCUUUCUCUGUCAAGAUUGCCUUUUUCAUUUUGUGUGAACUGCCUGAUGGCUUCCGCCUGUUUUAGCUUUUCGGCUAUUUCAUCAUGGCUUUUCUGAAGUUGACUUUUUUGCAUUAAAACUAUAUUCUGAAUAUCCUGCACUUCUUUUUGUUGUCUGUUAAGAUCAGCCUGCAUUUGCUGCAGUUCAUUUUCUCUCUGCUUUAUUUCCUCCUUCUCAUUCUCAAAAUCAUCUUUUUGCUGUAAAAUGAGUACAUUUAUUUUCUCAAGUGUGUCUCUCUCCUUUUUGAUCUCCUUCAGUGUCCGCUCAUUCUCCUCUCUCAGGUUCUCUAGAUCGUUCUUUUCUCUCGCUAUUUCUGCUUGUAUCUGUUGCAUAUCACACCUUUUCUUUUCUAGUUCCUCCCUCUCUUGUUUAAGCUGCUCUGCCCAUUUCUUCAUGUUCUGUCUUUCUUUCUGCACAUCCUGUUUUAACCUUUCGAUAUCACUAGACUCUUUUUGCAGCUCAUAUUUCAUGUUCUGUAACAUUCCCUUUUCAUCCUCUAUCCUUUUUCUCUGAGCUUCUAUGUCUUCUAGUUCUUUAGCAAAAGUGUCUUUUAGGUCGGCCUCCAUGGUUUGCUUUUGUUUUUCUAUAUCCUGUCGAAUGUGAUUUAGAACAUCUCUGGCAUUUUCUAAUUCUGUUCUUAUCAUGUAUUCUUUUUCUCUGCUUUCUGUAAUCUCAGCCUGCAGGUCAUCCCAUCCUUUCUGUAUUUCUAGCUUUGUCCUUUCCACCUCAUCUUUUGUUCGUUCUAGCUCCUGUUUUCGCAGCUCUAAUUGUAACUCUAUGUCUGCUGUGUUUUUUGUAGCAGUUUGCAGUGCGGCUUCUUUGAGUGAUAAUUCAUCCUUGCUCAGUUUUAUUUCUGCCAGUUGUCUCUCAAUUGUACUUUUUUGUGCAAGUAAGUCUUCUUUAAAAUUCUCCAGAGCUUGUCGCUCUUUAUCCAGCUCCUCCAUAGUCAAGCUCAUCUGAUAUUUUCCUACAUCCUCCAUCACAUCAGUUUGGACUUGUACAUCAACUUGUUUAAUCUCCAUCAAUCUUGCCUUUUCUAAUUCACAUUUCUCUCUCUGUAGAUUUACGUCCAUACUCUCUAGUUCUUGUUUUCUUUGAUCUAGCUGCUUCUUCUCUUUCCAUAUUAUAUCUAAACCUCUCCGGUUUUCUUCUCUCUCUGAUUGCAGCAGUCUUUCCCAGUUUUGUAGACCCACUCGUUUCUUUUCCAUCUCAAUUUCCAUCUCUUGUAAUUUUGUCAUCCUCUCUUCAGCUUCAUUCUUUAUCGCUCGUACAUCCUCCUUUGUUUUCUCUAGUUCAUGUUUCUCUUUUAAAAUUAUUUCUUUAUAUUGUUCCAGUUCUUGUCUUUCUUUCUGUAUAUCACUCACAAAGUCUUCCACUUUAAUGGCAGCUGCUUCUUCUGUUUUUGCAUACUCCUGGCUCUCGGUUGGAAUGAUGGCUGGUUGAACCUGAAAUAAAUGGUUCUUGUUUGCAUUUGCAUCUCUGUCCCAAUAUUUUUUUUAGAUAUACUAUGUAGGCAGUAUACAGUUAUUCUGAACACAGUUCAUGAUCAACUUACUUUUCACAAUCUUGAGUAAAAAUUCAGUUUAAAUCCCUUUUAGCAUUUUAUACAACUUGAAAUGUUGACCCUAUUUACUUUCUUAAUACGUGUGUAUAAUUCAUUGUCAAGUCUUUGUCUAAUUCUUUUUCUCUUGUUUCACUCAAGAUUGUCAUGUUUAACUGUAAUAAGUUGCAUCCUUGCAAAAUAGGUUACGGAUGCUUCAUGUUGACUUUAAGAGUCCAUUUGCUGCCGUCAAUAUUGAUAAAGCAGAUAAAAUAAUGACACUGUUCAAUGCAAGUAAAUUAUGACUUACCUUUUCUUUGCCUGUCUUUUCUAGAGCAGUGAGUUCUUUCUGUCUCUUUAUCUCUUCUUUGGCCUGUGCUAUGUCCUCCAAAGCAUUUUUCACAUCUUCUCUCAUCUGCUCCAUCAUAUCAUUCUCUUUAAUGGUCUCCUCCAGCCUCUCCUCCAGUUCUUGUCUUUGUCGCUGCACCAUAUUUCUCACGAGUUCUAGUUCAUCUCGUUCUCUCAUAAUCCUUUCUUCUCUAUAUUCAAUCUCUCUUCUCCUUCGUUGAACUUCAUUCUUCAAUAGCCUCAUCUCAUCCCUGUCUCUCUUCAUCGUUUCCUUGUUGUAUUCUACCUCAGCCUUAAGACCUCGCAGCAUUUCCCGGAUGUGUUCAAUCUCCAAAAUGAGCCUGUGCAUCUCAGCAUUCAUCUCCUCUUGGACUGUUGUCUCCAUCUGACUUCCUGCCAUUCGACUUUCAAUCUGGAAUUUUGCUUUCCGCACCAUUUCUCUCGUCCCCUCAAUCUGCUGAAUAAGACUGAUUAUUGUGAGGUUCAUCUGUCCUUUCUCUUCUUCUAAAUCUCUCUCCUCCAUCCUAAGUUCAAACUCCUCUCUCGCUCUUUGGAUUUCAGCUUUAACUUGCUCCAUUUCAUAUUUCUGCCUCUCCGUCUCCACUCUUUUCUGUUCCAUCUCAUCUUUUGCCCUUUGUAUCUCCAUCCUCAGUCGUUCCAUCUCAUCCUUCUUCCUCAUGGUCAGUUUCAUCCUUUGGUCAAGUUCUUUCUUCUUCCCUUCCAUUUCUCUCUUCAUCAGCUCCAUUUCUCCAAUCUCUCGUUUGGUUUUCUGCAUCCUUUCCUCCAGCUCUUCUCUUUGUCUUUGUAUUUCCUCUUUGACAAGCUGCAUUUUGUCCAUCUCUGCUUUUGCUAGCUCCAUUUUCCUUUCAACAUCCUCUUUUUGUUUUAAGAUCUCAGUCCUCAUCAGUUCCAUCUGGUAUCUCUCACUUUUUGCUUCCAUCAUCUGGAUUUCAAUAUCUUCUUUCUGUUUUUGGAGGUCUGCUCUCAUCUUUUCAAGAUGAGUCAUUUCCAGCCUUGCCUUCUCCAUCUUUACGUCGAUGUCCUCCUUCUGUUUUGUUAACUCCAUCUUCAUGUCUUCAAUAUCACCCAUCUCCUUCUUCAUAGCUUCCAUCUUCCUCAUCAUCUCCUCCUUCUCCCUGUUCAUCCUUUCACAUUCCUCAGGCUCUCCCUUUUCAGCCUCAUCCCACAACCUCUCUAUCUCCGCUCUCACCCUGUUAAUCUCAUCCUUGACCUCUUCAUAUGUGUCUUUCCCUCUCAGCGUUUCCAAACGGAUCUUCUCCAGAUCUUCUCUCUCGUCCUCCAUGUCCUCUCUCAUCUUCCUCAAGGUGUCCUCUCGUCGUUUUGUCUCCUCUAACCUUUUAUUCACUUCCUCUCUUUGUUCCUGGAUCUCAAUCAUAAGGCGUUCAGCUUUCACUCUAUCUUGUUGCGCUAACUCUCUGCUUCUGUUCAUGAUCUCUGUGUCCAGAAAUAGCUGAGUCUUGAUCUUCUCAAGUUCUUCUCUUUGUCUCUGCACUUGAGCACUCUGUUCUACAUCAUAUCUCAUCAUUUCAUACCUUUGUUUUUCUAGAUCUUUCUUGUCGUUCUGGACCUGAACUCUAAUCUGUUUGAGUUCCUCUCUCUCCUUGUCCAUCUCAGCUAAACGCUUUUCCUGAUCUUCCUUGUCCUUCAACGCAGCUGUUUUCAGUUGCUCAACAAUCUCUUUCUCUUGCUGUGUAUCCUCCAGCAUUUUCUGCAGGUUUUCUUUUUCAGAAUACCUCAACUUUUCUAGCUCAUGUCUGGCUCUUUGUAUCUCUUCAUUUAUUUGUUCUAACUCCUCUGUUUUUUUGUGUAUUUCAUCUCUUUGCUCCAAUGCCUCUGUUAUGGUUUCAUACCGUCUCUUUUCUGACUCUUCCAUUUGCUUUUUUAAGAGCAUCUCAGCCUCUUUGACUCCAAGUUUGGCAUGGUUUGCCUCCUCCUUUUCUUGUUUUGCAACUCUAAUCCUGUUCUCUAUUUCUGCCUUUUGUUUUUGUAGCUCAUUUCUCAUGCUUUUGAUUUCAUCUGCUUCUUCUUUAGCCUUUUCGCUGCUUUUAGUAAUCUCUCCUCGCUCUUUCUCCAUCUGUUCUAUCAUUUUUGUCAACUCCUCUCUCUUUGCUUUAGCCUCAUCCAUCUGUUUGAUAGCGGCAAGUUUGUCGUCUUCUGCCUGAAGCUUUAUUUUUUCAAGACUGUCCUUCCACUGCAUGAGCUCCAUCCUGCUCUCCUCAAUGUUUUUCUGCGAUCUUUGGACCUCGUCCCUUAAUUUUUCCAGUCUUUCCAUCUCAUGCUGAGUUUUCGCUCUGAGUUCAACUUCCUCUUUCUCUGUUUCAUGCCACCUGUUCUCCAUUUCCUCCUUCACCCUGAGGAUUUCACUUCUGAGGAACUCACACUGUUCGGUCUCUCUUUUCACCAAUUCUCUCUUUCGUUCCAGCUCCUCCCGCUCUUCCUCCAACUCAGCCUUUGUCUCCUCCAUUUGUUCUUUUGUUUUUUGGAUCUCCUCAAUUUUCUUCUCAAUAUCUUCAAUCUGUCCUUGAAUUUCAGUCUUCAUUUUUUCCAUUUUCUCAUUUUCCCGGAUUGUGACUUCUUGGCUGUUCUCAAUAUCCUCUUUGGCUCUGUCUAUCUCAUGUUUAAUUCUUUCUAACUCUUGUCUCUCCCUCAGCAUCUCCUCUUGUCUUCGGUUCAAGCUGUCUUUUUCAGCCUUGAUCUCUGCUUUGAUUAGUUCUGUCAUUUCUCUUUCUUGUCUGGCUUCUUCUCUUAUCUUAAAACUUUCUUCCUUCUCCUUCAGUAUCUUUGCUUUCUCCGUAUCGUUAGCCCUUUGUAUCUCUACUCUUAAACUCUCCACCUCGUCUCUCUCCCUCUGCAGUCGAGCUCUGUGCUCUAGCUCCUCUGUCACUAUCUCAUACCUCUUCUUCUCCAUUUCUUCUUUAGCUUUUCGUAUAUCAUCCUUCUGUUUUUCUAGAAUAUCUUUGUCCUUCUGCAUCUCUAUUUUCAUAUGUUUCACCCUAUCAGUUUCUCUUUUUAUUUCCUCAACUCUGGCAUCCAUAGAUAUCAUGUGAUUUUGUAUGUCCACUUUGGCCUGUCCGAUCUUUUCCCAUUCCUUUUUGACCAACUCUCUAUUCAUCACCAACUCCUCUCGACCUCUCUCAAUUUCAUAUUUCAUCUCUUCCAGAUCCUUUUCUUUUCUUAAAAUAUCUUGCCAUUUCUUUUCAAUGAGGUUGUUUUCUGUAAGCGCUUGAGCUCUCAGCUGGUUUAUUCUCUCAAUCUCUUGUUUUGAAAAAUCUCUGUUUCUUUCAACCUCUUCUCUUGUUCUUUGAAUCUCGUCUUGCAGGUAUUUCAGCUCAUCUUUCUCUCUUUGGAUUAUAGCUCUCUGUUCCAGCCCUUCUUUCUCUGUUUCAUGCCAUCUUUGCUCCAUUUCCAUCUUCACUUGCUGUAUGUCAACUUUAAUCUGCUCAAAUUGGUCUCUUUGCCUCUUGAUGUCAUACUUCUUUCUCUCCAGGUCGCUUUUCUCCUCCUCUAUUUCAGCUUUCAUCUGCUCCAUCUGACACUUUGCUUUCUGUGUUUCCCCGAUCUUCAUCUCUAUCUCGUUGAUCUGAACUUGUAUGGCACUUUUCAUUUGUUCCAUUCGUUCCAUCUCGUACUUUGUGCUUUCACGGUUGCUCUCCAGCUCCUCCUUCUGUCUCAGAGUCUCAUAUCUGAUCAUCUCCAAGUUCUGUCUCUCUCUCAUGAUUUCAUCAUGCUUUUGCUCCAGGGUGGUUUGCUCAGUUUGGAGAUCAGAUCUCAUUUGCUCAAUCCUCUCCCUCUCUCUAUUUACCUCUUCUUUAUUACGAUCCAUUCUUUCGCAGAUGUGGUCCAUCUCAGCUUUCAUGUGAGUAAUAGUUCUCUCAAGUUGUCUUUUCUCAGUGGUCAUCCUGACUAUCUCAUCUUGCUGUUUCUGAAUCCUCUGUCUCAUGUAGUCUAUCUCAGUCCUCUCUUGCUUAGUUCCUUCCCAAAGUUUCUCGAUCUGCUCAAUGGCACGCAUUGUUUCUAGUCUACGCCUUUUUAGAGAGUCUUUUCUUUUCUGGGUGUCACUUGAAUGUCCAUUUCUGUCAUCCUGUCUUCUUUUUUCUCUGGGAGAACUGGGUGGACUGAUUCUCUCUGUUUGUGUAUGCUUGCUGUUGCGUUGUCUCCACUCUGCAAAAUAAUAAUAAAAAAAGAUAAAUAACUAAACUUAUUAUUAUUAUUAAUAAAUAAAUAUUAAUGCAAACGUUUUUUUUUCUUUCUCAUACAACUUAGUAAGUUUGUAGUGCCAUGUUAAUAAUGACCAUGACUGAAUUAACUUAGUGAUAAGAAUUCACAAACUGGACAGAUCCAGUUCUCGUUAAAUGGCACUAUUGCUAUCCACUAAAAUUAAUUAGAUUUUCUAACCUAGUUCUUGAAUCAGUUCAGGCUCUGUCAUUCUCAGGAUGAGAUGGAAGGACACUCUGUUUAGGGGUGGCUCUCUUUCCAAAGCCUCAAACAGGAGCCGCAUUGCCUCCUGCUGGGUUGGAGCAGCCUGCACUUGUUGAGCUGCUGCUUCAUGGAUCAGACUUUGGGAGACAACAGCCUCAGCAAUGUCACUGACCCGAGUAGCCCUCGUAAUUAUCUGCUCCUUGAAUUCUGUCAGGAAAUCUCCAACUGUUGGGAAGGAGAACAUUUGCACUGCAUUAAUAAACAAUGCAUUACACAGUCACAAUUAAAUGUAGAUUAAAUUAAGUAGUGCAGUGAACUUUACCGUAAUCUCUGGAUUCUGCCAUGGCUGCUUGCUUGCUUAAGAAAUUAAUUCCAUUGUGUACUACAGUAUUUAAAAAUAACAAAAUAUCAUUAAAAAUAAAGGAACAUAAGGAAUAAACAUAAAGGAUAAAGUGUACAGAAAUGUAAAGGUGAAGUUAUUUGAGUGUUGUACCGUUUUCAAAAGAUUUUAACUGUGAAAUGUAUUGUAAAAUAGAGAAAAACAAUAAAGCAAGAUAUACAUUCAAUCCAGAUCAUUUUUAUACAUGAGUAUUAAGGAGGCAGAAAUGGGAUUGCAGCAUUUUUUAUAGACUUGCAUUGUUUUCUUGACAAAUGUUUUUAUCCUUUAACUUAAUAAGUAAAACACAUUUUGAAGUUAUAAAUAACAUGAUUAUUAAUAUGUUUUACAAUAAAUAUUAUUUCAGUUUCUCUUCAAAAUGUCAUGUUUAAUUUGUUGCCAUGUCCUUAUAUUUGUUUGUGAAAUUUACUAGCCAUUUCUGAGUGAUUUUUUUUUUCUAGUGCUAAGAUAUGACUUAAGGAACUAAUAUUAUUUUAUAAAAUUGUUUAAAAGAUUCUUACCUUUUGUGAUAUUACUGGAUUUAAUUAGUUCUGUAAAAAGUUGUGGUCUGAUGAUGGAGGCAUAUUGCUCUAGUAAUGGUGAAG